CAGAUUUUUUUUCCUUGCUUGAUUUUGAAAUAUUCUAAAAAUUUUAUCUAUUCCACAUCUUUCCUAAACUAUAAAAAAAUACCAAGUAAUUGACAGAAACGGAAAGAGAGGGUUUUUCGAUAAAAUUUUUAGGACAU